GACGGAGGAUGCAAGCGUUAUCCGGAAUUAUUGGGCGUAAAGCGUCCGCAGGUGGCGAUUCAAGUCUGCUGUCAAAGGUCGGGGCUUAACCCCGGGAAGGCAGUGGAAACUGAAUAGCUAGAGUGCGGUAGGGGCAGAGUGAAUUCCCGGUGUAGCGGUGAAAUGCGUAGAGAUCGGGAAGAACACCAGUGGCGAAAGCGCUCUGCUGGGCCGGCACUGACACUGAGGGACGAAAGCUAGGGGAGCGAAAGGG
rnacentral:rRNA from 1 species